CUCCGUUGCAUCCAUGGUUGGAAGCACGUGUGGAAGUCUGGCGCCAUAACUAGGUCUCACCAUGUUGCUGGAAGCCUAUUGUGUCAAACCUUCGAAGUGUGGGUUUGGAUGAAGUUGAUGGACACCCUGUGGAUGGAUGAUUCAAUGGAUUCAAGAGAUGGAUGUGUAAUCACUCCCUUGUGAAUUUAAACUGGAGGAACAAAUUGGCCCUUCCUUGCUGCUCAGGAAGUUUAUCAUAAUGGUGUGGUCUGGAAGAUGUCCACUAGGUGGUGUCCCUUCACUUUUUGUUUUUUUCCUUCUGGUCCCACUAGGCUAGUUUGAAGAAGGAAUAUUGGCAUGCCAUUAUUCUUCAGUAAAGGGAUAAGAGUUGAAGGUGAGAAGUGAAGCAUUUCCCAGCAAAAGUUUACUUGGAAGUUGAAGGCUGGUGAUCCUAAAAUCUGUACUGCGCAGGAAAUGUGAACUUUGCUGAGCUUUGGAGUGUUGCUUGUAACAAACCUCUUUGGAAGUUUCCAAUAAACCUGACAUUUUAAAAUGUGUCUUGUCUUUAUGAAAUGUGGUGGACCCAAUGCAAUGCAUUGAUUUCUCUAUUUUUGUAUGGAUUGUAAUUUUGGAUUAAGAUCUUGUCUUUUGAACUGUAGCACCCCUUAAUAAAAAUGUGAUUUGAAAUCCU